GGUAAAAUGGGUUCUGAGCAUCGGCUUGACUCCACAAUGAAUGGCCAGAUCACCUUGGACAAAUCAGAUGAAUACUGCUUAUUUUUUUUAAGGACAGAAAAACCCUGCUUUUCUGCCUCAGUGUGAAGCAUGCACUGAAUAUCCUCUAUGUGUAAAUGGAAAGCACUGGGAUUGAAGCUGGGGAGUAGAGGUCUGCUUGGAGAGUUGUGCCAUGUGCCUGCUGCAGGCUCAUCCCUGCUGGUUUUAACUGUGCUGACACCGGGCAGUGGAACAUAUUUCUCCCCUCCUCUCAGUGGCUGUGGAUGACUGUCUUUAGGAUUAGUUCUUGUAAGUUGUUAUUGUAAGAAUGUUUCACAAAAGGGCAGUGUUCCAUGUCCCUAAGUCAUCUUCAGCUUACACACCAUCAGCACGUUAACCCAGCCUUUUGUAUCUCUUAUGUCUCCUGUACUUUGUUUAGUAUGGAAGCCACAGCAAUGAACAAGACACAAUCCUGGACCCCAUGAGCUCACAGUGAGUGACAGCAGCCACUACAGUGUUAACGAAAGUUUAAUUCGGAGGCCAAUGGGCUGGGAUGGCCCCAGCACUUUUAGUUCCUAUGAACAACUUAUGAAAUUUUCUGUCUCACCUCUGAAGCCCUAGAGAAGUGCUACACUGCUUGCAGUCUGGUGCUGCCCAAUUUAUGAACUGCUGUCUGUUCAAAUAAACUCCACAGAAUUUUAAUGUGCCUAAGUUGAUCUUUUAACAACAGAAAUGCCCAAACCUCAGGAAAACAAGGAUGGCUCACCCUAGAUAGCCAAGCAGGGCAUGAGACGACGUCCUGUGCAUGGGAGUCACCUAGCUGGUGAGUGAGCAGCUGGAUGUAGACCGUGCAUGCCAGAUUUUGUUUAAGGCUCUCCCAUGUGGGUGUGCAGCACAUGCACUGAUAUGAGCCACAUGGCCUCUUCCUGCCUGCAAAGCUUCCACUUGACACAUUUGCUGGCACUGAGCCAUCCUUGCAUUCCUGAGAUAAACCUUACAUGAUUGAGAGCCAUCACUGUGUUAAAAGUAUGGGCACAUGCAUAUUUAUUAGGUAUACAUAGGCAUACUUCUGUACCUGUAAAUGUCUAAUGUCUUAUUUAAUAUUUUCCAUCUGUUCCCAGCAGUCAAUCUGACCUAUAAUUUUCUUUUCUUAUUCUGUCCUUGGCCUGUUUUGUUACCAAGAAUAUAUCAUUCUCAUGUUAGCCAAGUAGCUUUCCCCUCUUUUGUAUUCCCUGGCACAUACUCACUCACUCUUUCUCUCUCUCUCUCUCAAGGAAAGAGAGAUCUAGUUAUUUAAAAUUAUGGAUUUAUUUACUGGUAGUAAGUUUAUUUGCAUUCUCACUGAAUUGUUCAAUUUUAUUUUUUAGACAAAUUGUCCUUUUUAUCUAGC
rnacentral:lncRNA from 10 species